UAAUGACCAUAGCACACGUGUUUCAAACGACAUUUUUCAACACACUUGCAAGAAAAAAGACCAAUACUGAUCAUGGCACUAAAUAAUUGCUGUUACUGCUUAGAAUUGCGCAUAGGGUGCGCUAUAAUCUUGGUCAUAUACGUUAUAACAAGCUUGCCUCUUGCCUAUGUAUACAUAACACUUCAAGAAUCAAUGCGAAGAAGAAAAUGAAAAAUUUAGACCUUAUUUAAUAGUUACGGUUGUAUUGGCACUUAUCUUACAUUUAUUUGAGGGCAUUUGGACAAUUGUUAAGACAGAUAAAUACGCUUACACUGUACCUCUCUUGGU